UGGCCGUUUACACUGUUAGUAUCCAGGUGAAUCUGGUACUGGAACUUGACGUCACCGAAAAGAUCGGCUGACUGUUUAGGUUUGUUGAGCAAAGACAAGAGUCGGGGGACAGGCAGGGGUCAAAUCCAGAAAGAGAGCUUUGUUUACCAGAACCAAGGGGCUGAGCUGAGUCCGUAAAUCCGUGGGACAGGCGUGGGUCACAAACCAGGAGAUCUGAGGUGUAGUGAUGCCAGCAAGGAGAGAGACAAGAGAUGUUAAUCCAAAACACAGAGCUGGGGGUCAAAACCAGGAGGAGGACAGAUGGCUGGACAAACUCGUUAGGGUUUGAGGCAAAGAUGCGAGGCAUGAGGACAAAACCACCAGAUGUAUCUAGACCAGUACCAGGUUCCUGCCAGACCAUCGACAUUGACUCAUUGUUUAAUAAAUAUMUUAAACUAG